CGGCCGUUCCUCACAUUAUCAGCCGGCCUGCAAGAUGUUCGGCAGAAUGCUGCACAAGAUUUUGGUGCAAAGAUUCAGGCAGAAGUGGUUUAAAGAUCAGGCGCACCAUGCUCUCGACAGGAUGCUUGUGAGGAAAAAGGGGAUGGUUAGAGUCUGGGAUGGUCGAUGACGAAGUAGUAACCCAGGGCCACAGGAACCGCAACCAUCAUGCCGACAAUUAUUCUGCGAGAUGAGAGAGAUCUCAGGCCCUAAAAAUUAAUUACAACGUUAUGAAUUGUUCUACAAAGGAUAGCUUCUGAUUGCAGCUAUGCGCCCAUCCUGUCUGUUUUCUUUAAACUUCUUCGACACAAUCAAAUAGGCUCGACGUCAUUUUUUCCAGGAAAAAAGAAAAUUCGCUCCAGCUUCCAGCAACGCGCCACCAUUCCUGCGAAGCCAAUAACCCGAACGCAAGAAUAAAGAAGUUAAUUGCGGAGGAAGCAACGGAGAGAUCGGUUGGUACAUGUACAGUGGCAUCGGAUUUGUCUUGCUUCACCAUUUCUGGGAAAAAGGCUGGAAUGAGUGCGCCGGUGAAACUCGCUUUGAGGCCAUGGCAUUUUUGCCUUGAAUAGCAGCAGCGCUGUUUCUGUGCAUCUCCUCCUUUGCCAAAGCCCUCCCGUUUACUGCCCUCUCUUUACGCUCUCUUCACCAGGUGGUUCUCUGUCAAAGAAGCUGCUGGUGGUGGUGGUUGGCAACCCAUGCAAGAAUGCAGGCGCCAAUCUUGUGGAUUGAUCAUGAUCUUGCAGAGUGCCCCUAGGCUGUGCUCUUUUAUCUUUACCACAGCUCAUGUUGUCUUGUUUGGUAUUUGCAUGGAUCAAACUCAAGUCUUCACCAAAUGCUUGUAAACGAAGACGACGUAGAUUUGUGCAGUGUUUCAUCAAUUAAAAACAUUCAGAAAGAUUAAUAAACAGCACU